CCUACGGGGUGCAGCAGUGAGGAAUAUUGGUCAAUGGACGAGAGUCUGAACCAGCCAAGUAGCGUGACGGAUGACUGCCCUAUGGGUUGUAAACUUCUUUUAUAUAGGAAUAAAAUGUUCCACGUGUGGGAUUUUGUAUGUACCAUAUGAAUAAGGAUCGGCUAACUCCGUGCCAGCAGCCGCGGUAAUACGGAGGAUCCGAGCGUUAUCCGGAUUUAUUGGGUUUAAAGGGAGCGUAGGUGGAUUGUUAAGUCAGUUGUGAAAGUUUGCGGCUCAACCGUAAAAUUGCAGUUGAAACUGGCAGUCUUGAGUACAGUAGAGGUGGGCGGAAUUCGUGGUGUAGCGGUGAAAUGCUUAGAUAUCACGAAGAACUCCGAUUGCGAAGGCAGUUCACUGGACUGCAACUGACACUGAGGCUCGAAAGUGUGGGUAUCAAACAGGAUUAGAUACCCGAGUAGUC
rnacentral:rRNA from 1 species